rnacentral:rRNA from 1 species
UACAGAGGGUGCGAGCGUUGUUCGGAAUUACUGGGCGUAAAGCGCGCGCAGGCGGCCCUUUAAGUCUACCCGUGAAAUGCCGGAGCUCAACUCCGUGCACGCCGGGGGAUACUGGAGGGCUGGAGACGAGUAGAGGCAAGCGGAAUUCCGGGUGUAGCGGUGGAAUGCGUAGAUAUCAGGAGGAACACCGGUGGCGAAGGCGGGUCUCUGGGCCGAUAUUGACGCUGAGGAGCGAAAGCGUGGGGAGCGAACAGG